rnacentral:rRNA from 1 species
UAUAUUUCUUCUAAAGCUAAAUACCGGCCAGAGACCGAUAGGAACAAGUAGAGUGAUCGAAAGAUGAAAAGCACUUUGAAAAGAGGGUUAAACAGCACGUGAAAUUGUUAAAAGGGAAGCGCUUGUGACCAGACUUGCGUCCGGUGAAUCACCCAGCUCUCGCGGCUGGGGCACUUCGCCGGCUCAGGCCAGCAUCAGCUCGCUGUCGGGGACAAAAGCUUCAGGAACGUAGCUCUCUUCGGGGAGUGUUAUAGCCUGUUGCAUAAUACCCUUCGGCGGGCUGAGGUACGCGUCCGCAAGGAUGCUGGCAUAAUGGUCAUCAGCG